UGAGUGAGAUGCCAAGGACCUGGAAGC
rnacentral:piRNA from 1 species